AUACGUAGGUGGCGAGCGUUGUCCGGAUUUACUGGGUGUAAAGGGCGUGUAGGCGGGUUUGUAAGUUGGAUGUGAAAUGCCGCGGCUUAACCGCGGAGCUGCAUCCAAAACUACAGAUCUUGAGUGCCGGAGAGGAAAGCGGAAUUCCUAGUGUAGCGGUGAAAUGCGUAGAUAUUAGGAGGAACACCGGUGGCGAAGGCGGCUUUCUGGACGGUAACUGACGCUGAGGCGCGAAAGCGUGGGGAGCAAACAGGAUUAGAUACCCUGGUAGUCCACGCUGUAAACGAUGGAUACUAGGUGUGGGAGGUAUCGACCCCUUCCGUGCCGGAGUUAACACAAUAAGUAUCCCACCUGGGGAGUACGGCCGCAAGGUUGAAACUCAAAUGAAUUGACGGGG
rnacentral:rRNA from 1 species